rnacentral:rRNA from 1 species
GCCGCGGUAAUUCCAGCUCCAAUAGCGUAUAUUAACGUUGUUGCAGUUAAAAAGCUCGUAUUUGAAGUGUGGGUGGUGCUGUCUGAAUGACUUCGGUUAGUCAGAUGAUCACUACCCCCUUCCAGUAUCCAGUAGUGGGUAUUCAGUUACUUACUAUUGUGUGUUGGUCGUUUACUGUGAGAAAAUUAGAGUGUUCAAAGCAGGCGUUUGCUUGAAUAGAUUAGCAUGGAAUAAUAAUUGAAGGCUUUCGUGUUCGAUUUGAUUGGUUUGUUCAUGGAAGCAAGGUUAAAAGGAACAGUUGGGGGUAUUCAUAUUCACUAGUUAGAGGUGAAAUUCUCGGAUUUAUGGAAGAUGAACAAGUGCGAAAGCAUUUACCAAGGAUGUUUUCAUUAAUCAAGAGCGAAAG